rnacentral:rRNA from 1 species
CCCUUAGAUGUUCUGGGCCGCACGCGCGCUACACUGAUGCAUUCAACGAGCCUAUCCUUGACCGACAGGUCCGGGUAAUCUUUGAAUCUGCAUCGUGACGGGGAUAGAUUAUUGCAAUUAUUAAUCUUCAACGAGGAAUGCCUAGUAGGCGCAAGUCAUCAGCUUGCGUCGAUUACGUCCCUGCCUUUUGUACACACCGCCCGUCGCUCCUACCGAUUGGGUGUGCUGGUGAAAUGUUCGGAUCGGCCGUUUGUCGCGGUUUCCGCGUCAUGUGGCUGAGAAGUUCAUUAAACCCUCCCACCUAGAGGAAGGAGAAGUCGUAACA